rnacentral:sRNA from 1 species
CUCAGCCUCCGGAGUAGCUGGGACUGCAGGUGAUUCACAUCUAGGUGGCGGCAGUCGAGAAGGCUCGUUUAAAGAAACAAUAACAUUAAAGUGGUGUACACCAAGGACAAAUAACAUUGAAUUACACUAUUGUACUGGAGCUUAUCGGAUUUCACCUGUAGAUGUAAAUAGUAGACCUUCCUCCUGCCUUACUAAUUUUCUUCUAAAUGGUCGUUCUGUUUUAUUGGAACAACCACGAAAGUCAGGUUCUAAAGUCAUUAGUCAUAUGCUUAGUAGCCAUGGAGGAGAGAUUUUUUUGCACGUCCUUAGCAGUUCUCGAUCCAUUCUAGAAGAUCCACCUUCAAUUAGUGAAGGAUGUGGAGGAAGAGUUACAGACUACCGGAUUACAGAUUUUGGUGAAUUUAUGAGGGAAAACAGAUUAACUCCUUUUCUAGACCCCAGAUAUAAAAUCGAUGGAAGUCUUGAGGUCCCUUUGGAACGAGCAAAAGAUCAGUUAGAAAAACAUACCCGUUACUGGCCUAUGAUCAUUUCACAAACCACCAUUUUUAACAUGCAAGCGGUAGUUCCAUUAGCCAGUGUUAUUGUGAAAGAAUCUCUGACAGAAGAAGAUGUGUUAAACUGUCAAAAAACAAUAUACAACUUAGUUGAUAUGGAAAGAAAAAAUGAUC